GCGGGUGUAGUUUAAUGGUAGAACUUCAGCCUUCCAAGCUGAUUGUGAGGGUUCGAUUCCCUUCACCCGCUCCA
rnacentral:tRNA from 2 species